rnacentral:tRNA from 1 species
GAGGGUAUAGCUCAGUGGUAGAGCAUGUGCUUCACAUGCUGGAUGUCUUGGGUUCAAUCCCCAGUCCCUCCA